rnacentral:rRNA from 1 species
GUAGGUGGCAAGCGUUGUCCGGGAAUUAUUGGGGCGUAAAGCGCGCGCAGGCGGUCCUUUAAGUCUGAUGUGAAAGCCCACGGGCUCAACCGUGGAGGGUCAUUGGAAACUGGGGGACUUGAGUGCAGAAGAGAAGAGUGGAAUUCCACGUGUAGCGGUGAAAUGCGUAGAGAUGUGGAGGAACACCAGUGGCGAAGGCGACUCUUUGGUCUGUAACUGACGCUGAGGCGCGAAAGCGUGGGGAGCAAACAGGAUUAGAUACCCUGGUAGUCCACGCCGUAAACGAUGAGUGCUAAGUGUUAGAGGGUUUCCGCCCUUUAGUGCUGCAGCAAACGCAUUAAGCACUCCGCCUGGGGAGUACGGCCGCAAAGGCUG